AAAAAAAAAGUAAUGUCUUGGAAACUGCCUGAUGGAGGUGUAUAACUACUGGAAACGGUAGCUAAUACCGCAUAACGUCGCAAUCCCAAAGAGGGGGACCUUCGGGCCUCUUGCCAUCGGAUUUGCCCAGAUGGGAUUAGCUAGUAGGUGUGGUAACGGCUCACCUAGGCGACGAUCCCUAGCUGGUCUGAGAGGAGGACAAGACACACUGGAACUGAGCCACGGUCCAGACUCGUACGGGAGGCAGCAGUGGGGAAUAUUGCACAAUGGGCGAAAGCAUGAUGCAGACAUGCCGCGUGUAUGAAGAAGGCCUUUGUUUUUUAA
rnacentral:rRNA from 1 species